AAACUUUACAAUGCAGGAAACUGUGAUAAGGGAACUCCGAGUGCCCGUAUACGCGGGCUGUCCAGGUGUUUAAAAAUCAUCUGAAGAAAGGGCCGGGCAAGACCGGUGCCAGCCGCCGCGGUAAUACCGGCGGCUCGAGUGGUGGCCACUAUUAUUGGGCUUAAAGCGUCCGUAGCUGGACCGAUAAGUCUCUUGGGAAAUCCGCCGGCUCAACCGGCGGGCGUCUAAGGGAUACUGUUAGUCUAGGGACCGGGAGAGGUGAGAGGUACUCCGGGGGUAGGAGUGAAAUCCUGUAAUCCCCGGGGGACCACCGAUGGCGAAGGCAUCUCACCAGAACGGCUCCGACAGUGAGGGACGAAAGCUGGGGGAGCGAACCGG
rnacentral:rRNA from 1 species